rnacentral:tRNA from 1 species
UGCCGGUGUGGGUGAGGGUCACCGUCGCGUUGAUCUCGCGGCGGGUGAGCAGUAGACCGAUCGACCGGCCGAUCGUGACGCCGCGGCCGACGACC